GUAACGGCCCAACAAGCCAUUGAUCGGUACGGGUUGUGAGAGCAAGAGCCCGGAGAUGGAUUCUGAGACACGAAUCCAGGCCCUACGGGGCGCAGCAGGCGCGAAAACUUUACAAUGCGAGAAAUCGUGAUAAGGGAACCCCGAGUGCCCGUAAAUUCGGGCUGUCCGCCAGUGUAAAUAACUGGUGAAGAAAGGGCCGGGCAAGACCGGUGCCAGCCGCCGCGGUAAUACCGGCGGCUCGAGUGGUGGCCACUAUUACUGGGCUUAAAGCGUCCGUAGCUGGAUUGUUAAGUCUCUUGGGAAAUCCACCGGCUCAACCGAUGGGCGUUCAGGAGAAACUGGCAAUCUAGGGACCGGGAGAGGUGAGAGGUACUCCAGGGGUAGGAGUGAAAUCCUGUAAUCCUUGGGGGACCACCUGUGGCGAAGGCGUCUCACUAGAACGGCUCCGACAGUGAGGGACGAAAGCUGGGGGAGCAAACCGGAUUAGAUACCCGGGUAGUCCCAGCUGUAAACGAUGCGCGUUAGGUGUAUCGGUGACCACGAGUCAUCGAGGUGCCGAAGGGAAACCGUGAAACGUGC
rnacentral:rRNA from 1 species